AAGUUUAAAAAUACUUAUUUGUUUUUCUGUUAAAAUUCCACCAAAAUCCUGAUUUUUGUGUAAAUAUCUGUUUUAUGUUCCAUUUAUUUCAUAUUUGUACUGGGGGAUCUUUUAUUUUAGAGUGUUGGUUUACUGUGUACUGUCCCUUUAAGAGACUCAGCUCUAUUUGGCGCCAUCGGCGUACUGAUCUCAGUCUGUGUAUAACUAACAGAGAGAAGGUACGUAGUUCUGAUGUCUGUGCUUAAAACACAUAUUUUUCUGUUAAAACAGCAUAAUAUGGGCAGUAAGUAGUGUUAAAAGCUAGAAACAGGAUUGUGAAUGUGUAAAUAUGCAGUAGUUUUAAGGUGAACUUUAUAAAAUGUCUUUUAUGUCGAGUUUUACUGACACACGUGCUCUGUGGCUUCACGCCCCCCCCGUGUGCAUUUCUGCUAACAGAGAGAAGGAGGCUGAUAACCUGCAUGUAUAUGAGAGAGAGAGCAGCGUGUAUGUUCACUGCAGAGCUGUAUGUUCAAUCCAGAGCUUUAUGAGCUUAUUUAUCUGUUUAUACAGGUAUGUUUCCCCCCCCCCCAGUCACUUUCAUUUACUGUUUAAGCAUAUAUCUGUUAAUUCGUUGUGUUUUUGCUAAUUUUAUUUAAAUGCAGAGCUGGUUUUAGCUAAUUUUAUUAUUUUUAUUUUAUUUUCAUAUAUUGCUAACUCAUAUGUAAGGUUGCCUAUAUAUUCAGAGUAUCUCAGUCUGUGUAUAACUAACAGAGAGAAGAGAGAAGGAGGCUGAUAACCUGCAUGUAUAUGAGAGAGAGAGCAGCGUGUAUGUUCACUGCAGAGCUGUAUGUUCAAUCCAGAGCUUUAUGAGCUUAUUUAUCUGUUUAUACAGACCAGCAAAAUUAAAGCAUCCAAACCAGCAGUGGCCGUGGUCCGAGUCCUUCCUCACCGUGUCACAGAACACAACGCAGAGUAUCCAUGGGUUAACGGGAGUGUGAAUGGACAGUUCUGACCAUCUCACAGUUCCAAUACACACCCGUUACAAUGGUGCCGUGACGCCUUUGGGAGGAGAAGAUCGACGUCAGCUCGUUCGCCGUGGGAAGCUGCAGUUGCAUGUGUUUCUGGUCAAGAGAGAAGGAGGCUGAUAACCUGCAUGUAUAUGAGAGAGAGAGCAGCGUGUAUGUUCACUGCAGAGCUGUAUGUUCAAUCCAGAGCUUUAUGAGCUUAUUUAUCUGUUUAUACAGGUAUGUUUCCCCCCCCCAGUCACUUUCAUUUACUGUUUAAGCAUAUAUCUGUUAAUUCGUUGUGUUUUUGCUAAUUUUAUUUAAAUGCAGAGCUGGUUUUAGCUAAUUUUAUUAUUUUUAUUUUAUUUUCAUAUAUUGCUAACUCAUAUGUAAGGUUGCCUAUAUAUUCAGAGUAUCUCAGUCUGUGUAUAACUAACAGAGAGAAGAGAGAAGGAGGCUGAUAACCUGCAUGUAUAUGAGAGAGAGAGCAGCGUGUAUGUUCACUGCAGAGCUGUAUGUUCAAUCCAGAGCUUUAUGAGCUUAUUUAUCUGUUUAUACAGACCAGCAAAAUUAAAGCAUCCAAACCAGCA